ensembl:lncRNA
AUGUGUUAUAUAGUGUAUAUGGUGGAAUUAGCAAGGAGAUGCCCAACACAUAUUUUUCCUGCAGAGAAACCCCAGCCACUGAGCGCUGCAGAGACGGUGAUGGGUGUCCUUGGAUGGGUGAUUGCACUGGGCAUCAUCCUCAGUAUAGCUGGCACAAUAUAUUUGAUCAACAAACAGCAGCGGCACAAACAUGCAGGGUCAGACAAUGACUCAGAUAGUUCUUCUUCUGCCCACAAAAAGCCUUCCUCGUCUAAAAAGAAGGCAGCUGAUGACUUCCAGAGCCCCGGGAGGUUCUACGAUGAGCUCCCAAACACGGCAGACUACGUGAGUUACCGUUUGGCGUGUAACAAAGAGGAUUAUCUGGAGCAACACUCUCCUCCCAUUCAACCUCCUCUGACCUUCCUGCCCCAAAGCCCCUACACUCAGCACGGUAACCAGAAAGCCAUAUUCACAUACCCCACACCCCUCGGGCCCGUCUCCUCAUACACCUUCCCCAAAGAGCAGUAUGUAUAAAUACAUUCGCCACCUCUUUCUCUUUCUGUCUGUCUUCAGUUGCUCUGGUCAUUGUGCACUUUUUUACAGUGUUCUUUCUGAAUAGCUCUUUUUCAAGAAUAUUAUUCUCUAAGCAUAAUUGGAUUUGCAUGCAUAUUUUCAAAUUUUCAUUUUUGAUUAAUAUUGCUUAGAAUUAAUCUGCAAAUAAUUACAGAUUAAAGCAGAGUAGAUUUAAGAUGAAUAAAUCUGAGUCUUAAAGUAGGUCGGUGGUCCGUAAACCCCAUUUAUAACAGGCAGGCCCAUAUUGUUUAUUGUAUUCUGUACAGUUAUGCAUCACUGCAUUGUUUUGGGAUGUCAUUUGGGAUUUCCACUGUAUUCGUUUAAUUUCUAAACAGGUAUUUUUGCUGCUUUCGUAAUAGUAAACUUGCGACAAUAACAUGGUAGCAGUAAAAAAAGAAAUUCUUGAAAAAUCUAUUAAAAUAAACAUUAUCCCCCGGUUUCACAGACAAAGCUUAAGCCUAGUCCUAGACUAAAAUGUAAAUCUAAGCUGUUUCAACUGAAAGAAACUUGCACUGACUGAUCUUAAAACAUGUCAGUGCCUUUGUUUUGUCUUAAGAUGAACACCAGUAAUGCUUUUUUCUAAGGCAUGUUUAUAAAAAUUACUUAAAUGUCCUAAUUGAACAAUGGCUUAAUCCUGGUUUAGGCUAAACCCUGUCUAUAAGCCCCUAUAUGUAUGAUUUUUAAACAAUAUUACUACUGUAUUCAAUUGCGUUGAAUUAAAAUGGGUCUUUUUGCUGCCUUUGUAAUUGUGAAACUUGCAACAAUUACAUAAUCUGACCAAUACAUCACAAAAUAAUCAUUAUUCAUAUUUAUUUGCAUCUUUAAACUGUAUAUUCUGUAUAUAUGUAUGUAUGUGAGAGGGUUUUUUUACAUGCACACUAGCAAAUUUCAGUUAGUAUUUAUGUAGAACUGUGAAUCUCUUUCGUCAUUUGUCCUUUAUUAUUGUUUACAUUAUGCUUUGUGGCAUUCAUGCACAAUGGUACAAAGUUCUUCCAUGCACUGCAACUAAUAACUGCAUAAGGAGUAUUUAUAUAGUAUAUAGAGCACGUGGAAGUGUGCAAAAAUGUGAUGGAUUACAUUAUAUGUAUUUGUGUGUUGUUACAGUGACCAUAUGGUAUUAAAUAAGCUGUUAAUUAUGUAAUAUUUGAAUAUUUUAAC